rnacentral:rRNA from 1 species
CGGAGGGUGCGAGCGUUGUCCGGAAUCACUGGGCGUAAAGGGCGCGUAGGUGGCUCGGCAAGCGUGCGGUGAAAGUUCGAGGCUCAACCUCGAAUCUGCCGUGCGAACUGCCAGGCUUGAGCACUGUAGAGGCAGAUGGAAUUCCGGGUGUAGCGGUGGAAUGCGUAGAGAUCCGGAAGAACACCGGUGGCGAAGGCGGUCUGCUGGGCAGUUGCUGACACUGAGGCGCGACAGCGUGGGGAGCAAACAGGAUUAGAUACCCUGGUAGUCCACGCCGUAAACGAUGGGCACUAGAUGCUUGGGGGAGCGACCCCCUGAGUGUCGGCGCUAACGCAUUAAGUGCCCCGCCUGGGGAGUACGGCCGCAAGGCUG